CGCAAGAGCGCUAUUAGUUCACGGGACAAUCGAAUCGAGGAUCGCCCUCUUUCCUAUUCACGUUAUGUCUAUCGGCUAAAGUCUUCACCACGAUGACUUUUAUAUUACCGUAAAGCUAUAUAAUAAUUUAAUGAUACGAUACAAUAACAUUGAAUUAAACAAUUAACGAGAUGACAUCUCGCGAACGUUUGAAUAAAAUGGAUAGGAUCGUAUUCGGAUUAACGUUGUUAAUAAUUUGCUCGAAUAUCGAUGAUGCAACAGGAACGUGCGUUCACGUGGAAAACGAUGAUAUGUUGGAAUACUCGUGCGUCGGAGGACGUCCUGACGAUUUGCUUUCCAUACCAACCGAAACGGAAAAAAUUCGUAUAAAACAAAUGGAAAUUCCUGUUAUAACUGAAGAUAUGUUUUCACGAUUCGGUAAUCUUUGGGUUUUGGCAUGUUCGCGAUGUAACAUCAUUGAUAUUGAACCGAACGCUUUCCAGUCUUUGGUCAAUCUUCAACAAUUGAGUUUGGACGAUAAUCGUUUAAAAACAGUCAAAGGAUCUUGGUUCAAAGGCAUGGAAUACUUGACUUAUUUGGAUCUAAAUUAUAACGAGAUAACGACAAUUGAAGACGAAGUGUACGAGAAUCUGCCGAGUCUUAUUGAUUUUCGAUUAUCCGGCAAUCGGUUCGAGUGCUUGAACAGCCAAGCUAUGGAAAACAUGUCGCAUUUGAAGAGAAUAUUUCUCAGUGAAAAUUCUGAGUUUAAGUGUCCGAACGCUAUCAGCAAGUUUCUCGAUGCUCGUGGCAUUAGUUUUGAUAAAGAUUCACAAUGGAAGGAUUUUGAUGAAGUUUCUGUCGAUAGCAUGGUUGUAGAUCACCAAACGGAAACUUCGACGGAUUGGUCGUCAAUGCCAGAUCAUCGAAAGAGAUUACAUUUUCCUACAGUUGUUACAACAACAACAACUGAAGAUACGAGAACACCUGAACGUGUCUCAUCAACGUUUGAAACAACACAUUAUCCAUUGUAUGCUCCCGUGAGGGUCACUAUUACUUCCGAUCAUAAUGAGAAAAUAUCGCAAUUAUUCCCACCGGUUGAUUCUUCUGCAAUCGUCGCUACGACUAAUAAACCGGAAGUGCCACGAUAUCCACCAACGAUCGCUGAUCCUUAUCUUCCUGACAUGACGACGGCAAUCACAACGGAACAACCUUUUAUAUAUCCAUCAACGCAACCUUGGCCAAUUGUCACAGAAAACGACAGUGAAUAUCGCAAACCAUUAGACUACUCCGAGGAAUACAAUCCAACUAGGACGACGUUCCCAUUUGAUUCAAGGCCAACUAAUCGAGAAACUUUGCCUCCUUUGGUAGAUCCAAGAUAUAUUUUAUCCACUCAACCACCUGAAACUUAUUGGACGCAAAAUGGCAUACUCAUAGAACCGAAUUAUCCACUUCCUAAUCCAUCUUUCAGCCCGGGGCUCAACGAAAAUGAUAUAGAAACUAUACAAACUGAAGAUAUUCAUUUCACAAUUAGACCACCACAAAUACCGCCUGAAAUUGUUCAACCUGCUGCACCUUCUGAUUUACUUCAAGUACCUUACUACAACCCAACUGUGACCAUACAACGGCCAUUACAAUCGUCAAUUGCACCAAAUUACGGACAAAAUCAACAACAAUCAAUGACAGUAGUAGAAACUACUACAGACAAACCGUUUCCCCAGUGUCCAUCAAGUUCACCGAUAUCUGUUGAACUGACACCUUUUCUUAUCUUUCUCACUUUUAUUCUGAAUAUCAUCGUGCUGAGAUUUUAGCUGAUGGACAUUUGCUGUGAAUGAUAGCAUUAGUUUAGUACGACAAACGUGCACAACAUUGCAUUGACUUUAAUUCAAUACACUCGUACUCGUAUCUAUCGUACGAUUAUGAUUUAUUACUAUUAUUAUUAUUAUUAUUAUUAUUAGCAGUAGUAGUAAUUACUAUUAUUAUUACUAUUAUGUAUGAGCCGAUAAUAUAAUAAGAACUUUGUACGAGAGAGUUCAAUUAAGCCGCGUAAGCAUUUAUGAGAUCACGAUCGACAUGCACUGUAUUUAGUUUUCAUUUCGAACAUCUCUCGGUUUUUUUCUUUUUUAUGAUUAUGUAAAUGAAAAUUGUUCAAACUCCUCUUUUAUUAAUUGGACGAGACAAGAACCAGAGUUACAAUUGCUGGGCCAGAGAAGCCAUGGAGGCUGAACGAUUGAACAGAAUGCAACAAAUAGAAGAUGAAGAAAACGCAGCCGCUAAUAAUCUAGCUUUAGCAAUUCAAAAUCGUAACAAAGAACGAGCUGAUCAAGCUAAUAAUUUCUUCGAUUCAUUGAUCGAUAAAUAUGCUAAGAAG